rnacentral:rRNA from 1 species
UGCCAGCCGCCGCGGUAAUACGGAGGGUGCGAGCGUUAUCCGGAAUUACUGGGUUUAAAGGGUGCGUAGGCGGAUCUUUAAGUCUGAGGUGAAAGUCUGUGGCUUAACCAUAGAAUUGCCUUGGAUACUGAGGAUCUUGAAUUGGGUUGAGGAUGGCGGAAUGUGACAUGUAGCGGUGAAAUGCAUAGAUAUGUCAUAGAACACCGAUUGCGAAGGCAGCCAUCUGGGCCUUGAUUGACGCUGAGGCACGAAAGCGUGGGGAGCGAACAGGAUUAGAUA